rnacentral:rRNA from 1 species
AAUAGAUACCCCGGUAGUCCACGCCGUAAACGGUGGGCACUAGGUGUGGGCAACAUUCCACGUUGUCCGUGCCGCAGCUAACGCAUUAAGUGCCCCGCCUGGGGAGUACGGCCGCAAGGCUAAAACUCAAAGGAAUUGACGGGGGGCCCGCACAAGCGGCGGAGCAUGUGGCUUAAUUCGACGCAACGCGAAGAACCUUACCAAGGCUUGACAUACACCGGAAACAUCCAGAGAUGGGUGCCCCCUUGUGGUCGGUGUACAGGUGGUGCAUGGCUGUCGUCAGCUCGUGUCGUGAGAUGUUGGGUUAAGUCCCGCAACGAGCGCAACCCUUGUCCCGUGUUGCCAGCAGGCCCUUGUGGUGCUGGGGACUCACGGGAGACCGCCGGGGUCAACUCGGAGGAAGGUGGGGACGACGUCAAGUCAUCAUGCCCCUUAUGUCUUGGGCUGCACACGUGCUACAAUGGCCGGUACAAUGAGCUGCGAUACCGCGAGGUGGAGCGAAUCUCAAAAAGCCGGUCUCAGUUCGGAUUGGGGU